CACAGCAAGGCUCUGGGAGAAAUGCAGCUGCCGCGAUUACUGUUGUCGUGGCAUUUGUGUUGGUCAUUGGCUUUCUAUGGCUGAGAAAGAAGACGUAUUGUGCUCUCCUUCAAAAAGGAACUACGUAUAUUUCGCAACAGGCAGACUCACAUCCUGGUCACCAUGGUAACCAUGUUGAUGACGUGUCAAGUAAAGGCACAGCAACGACCUCUAACCUCAGCUCAAAGAGACAAAUGUCCACAGUACCAGAAGGGGGCGCCAACGACGAUGUCCACUACGCCAGCAUUCGCUUCAGAGACUGGAAAGGAGAGGCGGUUGAGGGACCGUACGUCGCCAACCCUCAACUUUCCACCACCCAGACUCAUACCA